AUUGAACGCUGGCGGCAUGCCUUACACAUGCAAGUCGAACGGCAGCACGGGAGCAAUCCUGGUGGCGAGUGGCGAACGGGUGAGUAAUAUAUCGGAACGUGCCCAGUCGUGGGGGAUAACGUAGCGAAAGCUACGCUAAUACCGCAUACGAUCUAAGGAUGAAAGCGGGGGAUCGCAAGACCUCGCGCGAUUGGAGCGGCCGAUAUCAGAUUAGGUAGUUGGUGGGGUAAAGGCUCACCAAGCCAACGAUCUGUAGCUGGUCUGAGAGGACGACCAGCCACACUGGAACUGAGACACGGUCCAGACUCCUACGGGAGGCAGCAGUGGGGAAUUUUGGACAAUGGGCGAAAGCCUGAUCCAGCCAUGCCGCGUGUGUGAAGAAGGUCUUCGGAUUGUAAAGCACUUUAAGUUGGGAGGAAGGGUAGUAACCUAAUACGUUGCUACUUUGACGUUACCGACAGAAUAAGACACCGGCGUAACUUCGUGCCAGCA
rnacentral:rRNA from 1 species